GACGAACCGUGCGAACGUUAUUCGGAAUUACUGGGCGUAAAGCGUGCGCAGGCGGUUCGUUGUGUCGGCGGUGAAAGCCCCGGGCUUAACCUGGGAAUGGCCGUUGAAACUGGCGAACUGGAGUGUGGCAGAGGGGGGUGGAAUUCCGCGUGUAGCAGUGAAAUGCGUAGAGAUGCGGAGGAACACCGAUGGCGAAGGCAGCCCCCUGGGCUAACACUGACGCCUCAGGCACGAAAGCGUGGGGAGCAAACAGG
rnacentral:rRNA from 1 species